rnacentral:rRNA from 1 species
UACGAAGGGUGCAAGCGUUACUCGGAAUCACUGGGCGUAAAGCGUGCGUAGGCGGUUUCUUAAGUCUGUCGUGAAAGCCCUCGGCUCAACUGAGGAAGUGCACCCGAAACUGGCGAGCUUGAGUACGAAAGAGGAUCGCGGAAUUCCCGGUGUAGAGGUGAAAUUCGUAGAUAUCGGGAGGAACACCGGUGGCGAAGGCGGCGAUCUGGGUCGAUACUGACGCUGAGGUGCGAAAGCGUGGGGAGC